UUCCAUAUUUGGUAACUAUCAUGCUGGUAACUUUAUAUAGAGGUAUCUAAAUUCGCGGUUCAUAUUGGUAACCCCGGAUUCAACCUCCAUCCGCGGGGACCGAAGGAGUCUUGCGGGGUUUCAGCAGCGCCGUCGCGGUAAGAUUUCAAACAUUCUCCGUCGCUAUAGCACCUGAGGACAGAAGUUGUUCAUGUUAUUUAGAGUUUUUGUUCACACCAGGAGUGAAGGCGGUAUGUGACGAGCUACAGUUCAUUGUAUUAGUAAGUUGACGGUUGUUUUUUUAAUGUUGAACAUCGCGCCCGCCGUAGACUCGGUAAAAGUUACAUGCUUCGACAGUUGGGAUACCACACUCGCUCGUGAUUAUUUUCUGGUGUAAUUCAAAUUUGCAAAUGCAGUCAUCCGUUAAAUCGAGCGCCCAAAUUAAAAUGAGUCACCAUAGCUUGCGGUAAAUCGAUGUUCACGGAGGAUAGCCCGGUAAAGUGAUUAAUGUACGUAACCACAGAUAUACAGUUUAUGUAUCGGAGGCCAGCUGAGAGCUUGAGCAAAAGACGUUAGCGACACCCUCAUUGUAUAGCAGGCCUGUCUCCCAAAUAGGACCGUUGGAGGGUGGGAGUGAGACCCGUUACAAAAUACUAGUGUGACAAUUUCUUGACCGUGACAUCCCUAACGUUAGUUGGAUUACAUUUCUGUAUAAGUACGGUUUUAAGUGACACACUUUGCCAUGCAGGCCACUGGAUGCUGACUACUGAAGGUUAGGUUGUGUGUGACGGUGCUCAGCACAGCUUCAUGUCUGGCCUUCCCACUCUGUUCAUAGCAUGUUACAUAUUCAGGCUUGAGUACCAGGAUGGGGCAGCAUGUACUUGGAGUCCAAUGAAAGAUAUUAAUCCAGAGAGUGGAACAAGAAGCGUCAUCUAAAAUGCCAGGAUACAGAAGAAACAGGUUGCAGUGAACCCACAUGUCGCCGCUCUUCUAAACACAAUGAUGAAUAUUCAGUGUAAUCGAUGAAAAUUCCAGCUACUUGUUGUGCUCUGAUGGAUCAAGAUGUGGACCGUUUUACAGACUCACUUGGGCCUUGUUUUGCAAUGUUGUUUCAUGAUGGUAAUGUUGGUUAACGUGUUGUUUAAACAUGAAUGUUUAAAGAGCCAUGUUGGAUACUAUGAAGUUGUUACUGAAUAAAAUUAUUUCAUGUACAACAACGUACACAAUUUGUCUGUAAUGUAUUUUUGUAUCAAUUAAAAAAAAAUAAACACUGUAUAUCCAGUAUGCAAAACAUACUGGAUAUACAGUGAUUUAUGUAUUUCUUCUAAAUAAAGUAAAUUAAAAUCAAGCAAUUUGCUGUAAAAAAUACAGCAUUAUACUGUUGCUAUUCAAAAUUACAGUUUUUCCUGUAUUCUGCAAUUACAGUAAAUGGCUGUAAAUUAAAUUACAGUACUGUGGCUGUACAAUUUACAGUAACUGGCUGGCAACCCUGCUG